UACGUAGGGUGCAAGCGUUGUCCGGAAUUAUUGGGCGUAAAGAGCUCGUAGGCGGUUUGUCGCGUCGAAUGUGAAAACCCGGGGCUCAACUCCGGGCCUGCAUUCGAUACGGGCAGACUAGAGUUCGGUAGGGGAGACUGGAAUUCCUGGUGUAGCGGUGAAAUGCGCAGAUAAUCAGGAGGAACACCGGUGGCGAAGGCGG
rnacentral:rRNA from 1 species